rnacentral:rRNA from 1 species
AAUAGGUUUGGUCCUGGCCUUUCUAUUAGCCCUCGGUAAGAUUACACAUGCAAGCAUCCCCGCCCCAGUGAGAUCGCCCUCCAAAUCACCCAUGAUCAAAAGGAGCAGGUAUCAAGCACGCAACAAUGCAGCUCAAAACACCUUGCCUAGCCACACCCCCACGGGAAACAGCAGUGAUAAACCUUUAGCAAUAAACGAAAGUUCAACUAAGCUAUACCGACCACGGGUUGGUCAACUUCGUGCCAGCCACCGCGGUCAUACGAUUAACCCUAGUUAAUAGAGCCCGGCGUAAAGAGUGUUUUAGAUCGCCCCCCCCC